GAGUUUGAUCAUGGCUCAGAAUGAACGUUGGCGGCGUGGAUUAGGCAUGCAAGUCGAAUGCGAAAGUAGCAAUACUAGUAGCAUGGCGAAAGGGAUAGUAAUGCAUGGGCAAUCUACCCUCGACUCCGGGAUAUGCGGUAGAAAUGCCGAGUAAUACUGGACGCCGUUAGUAGGGGACAUCCCUUGUUAACGAAAGGUCCGCCGGUCGAGGAGGAGCUCAUGUCCUAUCAGCUAGUUGGUGAGGUAACGGCUCACCAAGGCGACGACGGGUAGCGGGUGUGAGAGCACGACCCGCAUCACUGGCACUGAGACACUGGCCAGACUCCUACGGGAGGCUGCAGUCGAGAAUCUUCGUCAAUGGGGGAAACCCUGAACGAGCGACGCCGCGUGGAGGAUGAA
rnacentral:rRNA from 1 species